rnacentral:rRNA from 1 species
CGUGUAGGCGGUGCGGUAAGUUGGGCGUGAAAUCCCCGAGCUUAACUCGGGUGGGCCGUUCAAGACUGCCGUGCUAGGGUGCGGGAGAGGGAAGUGGAAUUUCCGGUGUAGCGGUGAAAUGCGUAGAUAUCGGGAGGAACACCUGCGGCGAAGGCGGCUUCCUGGACCGUAACCGACGCUGAGGCGCGAAAGCUAGGGGAGCAAACAGGAUUAGAUACCCUGGUAGUCCUAGCCCUAAACGAUGAGCACUGGGUGUGGCCCCUCACGGGGCCGUGCCGAAGCUAACGCAUUAAGUGCUCCGCCUGGGGAGUACGGUCGCAAGGCUGAA